rnacentral:rRNA from 1 species
AUUGAACGCUGGCGGCAGGCCUAACACAUGCAAGUCGAGCGGAUGACGGGAGCUUGCUCCUUGAUUCAGCGGCGGACGGGUGAGUAAUGCCUAGGAAUCUGCCUGGUAGUGGGGGACAACGUUUCGAAAGGAACGCUAAUACCGCAUACGUCCUACGGGAGAAAGCAGGGGACCUUCGGGCCUUGCGCUAUCAGAUGAGCCUAGGUCGGAUUAGCUAGUAGGUGAGGUAAUGGCUCACCAAGGCGACGAUCCGUAACUGGUCUGAGAGGAUGAUCAGUCACAAUGGAACUGAGACACGGUACAGACUCCUACGGGAGGCAGCAGUGGGGAAUAUUGGACAAUGGGCGAAAGCCUGAUCCAGCCAUGCCGCGGGUGUGAAGAAGGUCUUCGGAUUGUAAAGAACUUUAAGUUGGGAGGAAGGGUUGUACGUUAAUACCGUGCAAUUUUGACGUUACCGACAGAAUAAGCACCGGCUAAGUCUGUGCCAGCCGCCGCCGUAA